CAAAAAAAAUUAUUUUUCCUUUUUUUUAAUUGCAAGUGUAAAGAGUAUUUAAUUUGUUAAAAUUUUCUCUCUCUUCUAAACUCACCUCCUCCAAACGCUCUCUGCUUCAAUUCUUCAAGCCAUUGCUAUGAGGUUGCAAUCAAUUCAAACCAGUUGGGCCAAGUUACUUGCAAAGGUCCAAAUUGGAAAGAUCCGUUUCGAAAUUGGGCAUUUGGAAUUCCGGAGAGAGAGAUAGAGUUGCGGAAAGCAAAGUGAAAGAGGGCCAAAACCAGAGGAGAAUGGGAGAUCAAAAGGUGGAUUUCCAGUAAUCAAACAUAAGCAUAAGCUUCAAUUCAAUCAUCUCAAAGGAAUCGAUCUUAUUACUUUAGUUUUGCGGAUCAAGAUUUGAGAGAGCAAGGACUAGAGUAGCGGAGGAACAAUAGCAGCUGCAGCAGGUGAGAGAAAUUAGGAUAGAAGAGUAUAAGAAUCCUAGAGGAGUGGAAUUGGACUCCUUCUAGGAUCUUGCAACUUCUUGUGAACUUGAACAUCUUCAUUUUGGGGGUAUUUUUUGUUGGGUAAAACUCACUGCUUUUAUUCUGUUUUACUUCUUUGAAUAAUGUUUUGGUCACUCGUAUUCAAUCUCAUCUGUUUUUCUCUUGUCAUGCAAGUUUUUGGCCGCACAUGGUGUUGCAGGAUCAUUUCCUUUGGCAUUUAACCACCUAAAUAAGGUUUGUUUCACAGAUCUUUACUUGGGUCGGGUAGAAGUGUAUGAUUUUGUUUUUCGUAUGGUUCAGAGGUUUCCUAGCAUCAAGGAACUCUGUGAAACAGGUAACAAACGUUGUUGUUUUCUUAGCAUUUUUGCGUGAGUGAUUGAAUAAACUAUAUUGUGUCAUCAUUAGUGGUUUUCUUGGAAGACUUGGAACAAAUAUCAUAUCGGAUAUAUGUUCAUGAAUUUAAUUUAAGAUUCGCAUAUAUUCUCAUGACCGUUACUCCAUUAGCCAACAUGAAAAUUGUUAGUGUAAGCUUAGUCACAUAAUUUACAUGACUGCAGUUCUUCUAUCUUUCCUGAGAUCACUUACUGCAGUAAGGGGGAUUGUGAGGUUGAAGUGAGUUCAUGGUUAGGGCAGAGAUUAAAGUCAAUGGCGGUGUUGAAUCGGUUUGGAAUGCUCUCACAAAUUAUGAAUCCUUGUUGAUUUUGUCCCUAAUCAUGUUUGUAUGCGGAGAUUAAAGUCAAUGUCCAUGUCAAAAAUUCCUGAUGUUUGAGAUAUUUGUAUGGGGAUCUAUAUGCAAGUACUAUAUGGGCAUCUAAUGAAAAACUGAAAAAUAGAGGAAACUUCAGCACAACAGCAAUGUGCACACUGCCAGCUGGAUACAAAUAUUCAUUUGCGAAGCAUAACAGUAAGGAUGUCCUCAUUCUAGCCAGGGGUUUACAGAGUUUGUUCGCCCAAGUCGUUGCAACUAUGCUUGUUCAAAGGAGGUCGUAAAGCCUGCUGCAACUCCAACUCCAUCUUCCCCUUCAACUGGAACUCAAUCUAUUGCAGCUCUUAGAGAUCGUCUCUUGUUUCUCCUUUGCAAAGUGUAGAUUAUUGAGUGUUUUAAUUCUUUUAGUUGUUUUUGGUCAAUACCUCAAAACCGUAAAUGCCACAACAGAGAGUACUCUCUCCCAUUGUUCUCUACUACCUUUGCAUGCGUGUAUAAAUCAAUAUAAUUCAUGCGUGUACUUCAUGCAAGUGAUUUCUUCCA